rnacentral:rRNA from 1 species
AUUCCAGCUCCAAUAGCGUAUAUUUAAGUUGUUGCAGUUAAAAAGCUCGUAGUUGGAUUUCGGAUGAAUGCGACCGGUCCGUCGUUACGAUGUGUACUGGUUGCGUCCAUCUUGCUGUCGGGGACGCGCUCCUGGCCUUAAUUGGCUGGGACGCGGAGUCGGCGAAGUUACUUUGAAAAAAUUAGAGUGUUCAAAGCAGGCUUACGCUCUGAAUACAUUAGCAUGGAAUAACGCGAUAGGACUCUGGUCUUAUUGUGUUGGUCUUCGAGACCGGAGUAAUGAUUAAGAGGGACAGUUGGGGGCAUUCGUAUUUCAUUGUCAGAGGUGAAAUUCUUGGAUUUAUGAAAGACGAACUUCUGCGAAAGCAUUUGCCAAGGAUGUUUUCAUCA